rnacentral:rRNA from 1 species
AUACAUGCAGUCGAGCGGAGAAAUGGGAGCUUGCUCCCAUUUCUCAGCGGCGGACGGGUGAGUAACACGUGGGCAACCUGCCCUGCAGACUGGGAUAACUCCGGGAAACCGGAGCUAAUACCGGGUAAUACAUCGCAUCGCAUGGUGCAAUGUUGAAAGUUGGCCUUUGGCUAACACUGCAGGAUGGGCCCGCGGCGCAUUAGCUAGUUGGUAAGGUAACGGCUUACCAAGGCCACGAUGCGUAGCCGACCUGAGAGGGUGAUCGGCCACACUGGGACUGAGACACGGCCCAGACUCCUACGGGAGGCAGCAGUAGGGAAUCUUCCGCAAUGGACGAAAGUCUGACGGAGCAACGCCGCGUGAGUGACGAAGGCCUUCGGGUCGUAAAGCUCUGUUGUUAGGGAAGAACAAGUACCGUUCGAAUAGGGCGGUACCUUGACGGUACCUAACCAGAAAGCCACGGCUAACUACGUGCCAGCAGCCGCGGUAAUACGUAGGUGGCAAGCGUUGUCCGGAAUUAUUGGGCGUAAAGCGCGCGCAGGCGGUCUCUUAAGUCUGAUGUGAAAGCCCACGGCUCAACCGUGGAGGGCCAUUGGAAACUGGGGGACUUGAGUGCAGAAGAGGAGAGUGGAAUUCCACGUGUAGCGGUGAAAUGCGUAGAUAUGUGGAGGAACACCAGUGGCGAAGGCGGCUCUCUGGUCUGUAACUGACGCUGAGGCGCGAAAGCGUGGGGAGCAAACAGGAUUAGAUACCCUGGUAGUCCACGCCGUAAACGAUGAGUGCUAGGUGUUGGGGGCUUCCACCCUCAGUGCUGAAGUUAACACAUUAAGCACUCCGCCUGGGGAGUACGACCGCAAGGUUGAAACUGAAACUCAAAGGAAUUGACGGGGGCCCGCACAAGCAGUGGAGCAUGUGGUUUAAUUCGAAGCAACGCGAAGAACCUUACCAGGUCUUGACAUCCUCUGCCACUCCUAGAGAUAGGACGUUCCCCUUCGGGGGACAGAGUGACAGGUGGUGCAUGGUUGUCGUCAGCUCGUGUCGUGAGAUGUUGGGUUAAGUCCCGCAACGAGCGCAACCCUUGAUCUUAGUUGCCAGCAUUCAGUUGGGCACUCUAAGGUGACUGCCGGUGACAAACCGGAGGAAGGUGGGGACGACGUCAAAUCAUCAUGCCCCUUAUGACCUGGGCUACACACGUGCUACAAUGGACGGUACAAAGGGCAGCAACACCGCGAGGUGAAGCGAAUCCCAUAAAGCCGUUCUCAGUUCG